rnacentral:rRNA from 1 species
AAUGAACGUUGGCGGCGUGGAUUAGGCAUGCAAGUCGAGCGAGAACCCCGCAAGGGGGGACAGCGGCGAAAGGGACAGUAAUGUGUAGAUUAUCUGCCCUCAGGUCCGGGAUAGCUGCGGGAAACUGCAGGUAAUACCGGAUAACAUCUCCGGAUCAAAGGUGUGAUUCCGCCUGAGGAUGAGUCUGCAUCCUAUUAGCUAGUUGGUGGGGUAAUGGCCUACCAAGGCAUUGAUGGGUAGCAGGUGUGAGAGCACGACCUGCGUCAUUGGGACUGAGACACUGCCCAGACACCUACGGGUGGCUGCAGUCGAGAAUCUUCGGCAAUGGGCGCAAGCCUGACCGAGCGACGCCGCGUGUGGGAUGAAGGCCUUCGGGUUGUAAACCACUGUCGGAGGGGAUGAAAUGCAGGUGGGUUCUCCCAUCUGUUUGACAUAGCCUCAGAGGAAGGACGGGCUAAGUUCGUG